CAAACAUUAGUGAAUGGGACAGUAAUCUUGGACAGAUAGUCGCAGCGAGCCGGGUCAGUGGAAGCCGGUACGGAUGUCUUAGAUGAAGCGGGCCCAGGAAAUGGUUUGCCGAACCGAGCAAGCAGAAGUAGGCAAAUCCGGUCAUGGACCGUUACGAAAACGAGGGGUCAAGUCCGGAAACAGGCUUGGCACUUAGAGUGGUACCACGGGAUCUUCACGGCUCUCGUCUCUUAU
rnacentral:ncRNA from 1 species